AGGUAAUAGACUAACUUAACAAGAACAAUCCCUUUGAUUCCUGAUUCUUGAGUUAUUUAAUAUAGGAGUUACAAAAAUGAUUGGAAAAUGGAGAGAGAAAAUAAGAACUGUGCUCCUGUAUCAACAUGGAUAAUUUCUUUAUCAAUUAUGGUUUUAAGUGGUCUACCCUCGUAGUUGUUAGAGCUCCUGGCAUGUGAAAUAUAAGCUUCUCAAUUACUGUUUGUUCUUCAUCUAGAGGCUCUAAGAAGCUUUUGACUGAAUCUGCUAGGAUAAGUUCUCCAUGGCUUUGUUAAAAAUCUGUAGCAGAACUGAAUGGAGUGAGUAUAGAAAGAAAUACUCUCCCAUAGCAUGCUUGGGAUAAUAAUGGACAGGGUGAGACACCUGUGAGAUACCAUUUGGGAGGGAGGAAAAAAAAUAAUCUGGAAAAGGGCUUUGGGAUCAUUCUGUAAGCUAUGAAUGCUAACAUAAAGUGUUCAAUAACAUAAGAAUGAUUAGUUGUUCAAGCUGCCUAGAUCUUCCUUAUUUUUUUCUACUUUAUUAUCCUAUAAAGUGGGGUUUUUUGUUGGCAAAAGUAUUUCAGUAUUUGUUUUCUUAAGUUGAGGGAUAAUUACAGCACCAGCUUAAUAAAGCUUUUCUUGAGUUUUUCUACAUGAAUGUUGAAGCUUUAUCGUAGAACAUUGGUAACCUUACCAGAACAAUUUAUUCUCUACAACUUAAGUAAUUUUCAUUGCAUUAUAGAUGAUAGCUAUGUAUAUAAUGUUUUGAGUACUUGCUGGCAGCAUAUUAAAGCUUACCUUUAAAUAAAGCUUCAUGCUUCUUUAAAAACCAAUUAGCUUCUACAAAAGAGUUUAAGGCCUUGGUAGGUUUAAGUGGGAGCUAACGCAUUCAACCAAGACUCCAUCAACAGGUUUAUAUAUAUAUGUUCAUGCUGAGAGCUUACUCCAUUAUGUUAAAUGAGCUAAGCUACUAGCUCUACAAUACUAUGUGAAAUUAUGAAAUUGCAGAGUAUAUGCAGUAGUUCAGAACUGGACUGAGGAAUGAUAUCCUUUCUGGAGGUUAUUUGUUCCGCAGUGCCUUUGUUUCUUUAGGUGAGGCUGCUUUUGAGAUCACAGUCCAGAAAAAGGAGGACUUUUUACAUAAUUAAUACUAGAUAUUGAGCAAUGAUGUGAUGUGUUUCCUGUUUGAACAGGCACUUCCUCACUGGUGGGGAAUCACCAACGACAAAGUCUGUCAAAACUAAAUCAAUAAAUCAAAGUUUAGCUUAGAAACACCAGGGUCCUUUUAUAUGGGAAAAUUAGCUUCAGUAUAGUUGCCUUCCACAAUACUGUAGGGCAUGGGGCAUGAUCAUGCAGAAAAUCUCAAUUGAUAUAGAUAAAGAUCACUGCUAAAUUGCCGUUGGUGUAAAGUUUUUAUCCCAGCAGAAAGGAACUCGGACAGACCAAGACUGUGCUGUUGCUACUAAGUCAGAAAAAGGAAACUUGGUUGUGUAUUUUUGAAGUCUUUCUGUUAGCUUUCUACCUUUACAGGUAGUGUGUGUUUGGCCAUGAAGCUACUGGAUUAUGCUCAAAAACUGUAUUUUUUCCCUAUGAUUUUUUUUAACCCAUUCCUUCUGUGAAAUGUAACAUUUUAAGGUUAAGCUUCUGUACUAAUCACUGAAAGAUUUCUAGUAGUAUGCAAAUCACGAUGUACUUCAAUAGAUAAACUAUAAUUACAUUACUUACACUGUUCUCAUAACUAUGGUUCUCGACUGCCUUACAACUUUGAAAAGUGCUGUGGGGAUUCCAGUUUCUCAAUCUUCAUUUUGUGGGUUUGUUAUGUGGUUUCUUUCCAUAUAAUUCUGGGAUGGCUAGGGAAAUAAUGCUCGUAUCCAAAUACACAUUUAUGUUUCAGGCAGAAGCUGAGGGGAUGCAAGACGAUGUGAUACCAAAUUAGGUCCUGUGCAAUGUAUUACUGGAGAAAUAGCCAUGCCACUGGGAUAAGUCACAGGCCAGCUGGAGAGGUAGAUGCCCAAAACAGUCAUCUUUGCUUCUUUGUGACCGAUUCUUAUGCCUGGGAAAAUGAACUGCAGUCCUGUCGUUCCUGUUUGAAGUCAAUAGGUACUCUUACUGCACAAAAAGUCCAGUCUUGAAUGUUAUGCAACCAAAUUAGGCUUCCACCUGCCCAGUCCUCAAGAAAACCUGAACAGUUGGUGAUGGGAAGAGGCCUCAUUAUUAAGAGAAACAUCAUUUCAUUUGGCAUCUUUUCUGGACAGAAGUGAACAGGAGCCCAGUCCCACUCAGGGUACUGUCAGGAGCAGCUCCACAGAAACACAGAACCUUUUUGGGCUAUCUUAUUUAAGGAAGCAGAACUUGGUUCUUGGAUGAUGAUCCACUGAAGAUCAUGGCAAAACACUAGUUUUCUUCUCUGCAGAAGUGCUCCUUUCCUUGUGCUAGCUAAUACUUUUCUACUCCCUUGGAAACUGCUUUUUAUCACUUCUUUUGAGUACGAAGCUAUGUCUGUAAAGUGAGAUGGAUCAAAAAUCAAACUAUGAAGACCUCCCUAAUUCAAGAUAGUGCUUGUCAGGUAUAAUGUAGAUAUUUUUUUCCUGUUCCUGGCAAUGUUUUUGCGGCAGAUCGUGAAAACUCAUAUAUUUGUGGUAGAUGGGUGGCUUUUCCAGGUGAGUUCACUCAACUUCUAUGGAAUCUAAAAUAUUUCAUUUUCUUAUGAGUAGAUCUAAAUGAAUAGGUUUAAAUGAAUACUCCUCCCAACUGUCUCUAACCCCUACUGCUUUUAUUUCUGAUUGUAAAAUGUCACAAGUGAAAAGUGAGUUAGGAAUGCAUUUCUCAUGUGUAUAAACGUAGGCAGUAUGCAAGCAUAUGAUGUAGUUUCUUCCUGAGUCUGCAGAAGGGCAGCCUUAGAGCCUCUGCUGUUGAUUAGAGUUUUCACAUGAUGCCACACAGUUAAAGCUACUGUGUUUUCCUUGUAUUAAGCAUAGGCAGCUGCAAAGGUGGCAAAAAUCAGAGCCUUCUUACCCUGCUCGAUGGGAAAUUAUCCAUUCUAGAGGAGUUUGAUGUUUAUGACACAACUACUAACUCACUGUUGAUUUAAAAACCAACUAGAGCCACCAGAAAGGCAAAAAAUGGUGUGCCAGGAGGACUCAUAGCAUCCUUCCUUUUCUCUAUAGCUGCGAGGAGUUUGGUCUCUUACCUAAGUGCUAUUUUAAGACAGUGCUUUUUCUCAGUCUCACCUCUUAAUUGGUCCAUAGCUAGUAAGUAAUAGUUUGCCAUUUAAAGGCUUGGAGCUGAGAGAAAUGUUAUUGUAAUUGCAUAAUGCUGAACUAGGUAUAACACGCUGUCCUUCCCCUGUAUGUUGCAAGAAGUGUGACUAGGCUGAAGACAAACUGGAAGUAACACUGCGUAUUUCUCACCCUGGGUUGGAGACUGAAUGUUAAAUAUCAGUUAAAGCCCUUAAAUGGUGAUUUAUAGUGUUGCAAAAUGCUGAUGCAAUGCUGUGGUGUUACUCUAGUGACUCUUUGAUUCUGAUAAUCCUGACAGUGUGUAUGGAAAUAAUAGUAGGCCACUUUUCAUUUAGGUUAAAUUCAUUGUAGUUCUGUAACAGAUGUGAAGCUUUCUGAAAAAAAAAACUUGCUGUCUAAUGAGUAAUACUUUUGUAGUGUCACUCAGUCUGUGUGAUGUGGCCAAUUCUACAGAUGGAUGCUUUCAUGAGGCUGUAUUUUAAUUUGUAAAUGAAAGUUAUUUAUGAAGAAAGUCUUUUACUGACUUGACCAGUAGAAAAUCACCUCUGUGGAAAGUAUAAAUUAUGGUUCCAUGAGACACAUUGGAUUUUAUUAUUAUUAUUCCGAUUAAAAUCUUUAUUGAUCAUCUGCUAUUUCUGUUUUAAUCAAAGACAAACUGUGCCCUUUCUGCUCAGAAGAAUCCAAGGAAAAAAAAAGGGGUUACUUGAAAAUCCAAAUGCAAGAAAGGGUAAAACCAAAGUUUUUGCCAUUAGACUAAUUAUAAUUGAAUUGUGGUUGGUAAAUACGCUUUGUGUUCUUCCAAGAAACAGCAAGCAGGGACACGCACUGACAUGCUGCUUGUGCUACAUUUGAAAAGUGUAAUUCUGUUCAGUUCGAACUGCUGUUUCUGACUUGUACAAACUGAAAUUUAUAAAAGCUCCAUAAGACCAAGCUAAAUGUGAGGCUGUUUGUUAGUCAUGAGGAGCAAGACUGUAUAAAAAACCCAACUUAAUUCUGUUGGUGCUUCUUAUUUUGUUUUGCUGCUACGGGCCAUCUUCACGUGUCACAAAAAUCCUAGUGUUUCCCUCAUCUUCUCUUCAAAAAUAAGGGUUAUUUUCCUUUUUUUGCUUUUAUACCUGUCAUCUCUUGAUGUGGAAGAUGUGGAUUUUUCUGGAAAUGAGAACAGCUGAUAGAGGGACUAGCAGGACAGAGGGAGGCCUGUACUUUGAACUCUAUUUUCUGUGUGGACUAGUUUCAGGAGAUCUUUGGCCACAUUCUCUAAAGCUUUUUGUGAUAUAUAGGCAUUUGCACUUAUGUGGCUGUAAGUAAUGUCCAGUCAUAAGGGAGGCAUAUUGAACAUUUGAGUUGCCUAGAGGGGGGAAUUCACUCCCUGCCUUGUGGAUUUUUUUCAUUUUUUCAAGAAUUCAGAAGGGAUACUCAUAGUGCUAUUGUGCAGGGAUUGUUGAGGGCAUGCUGAAAUGAGUAAAGUUGCACACAUCUGCUUUUGGGUAAACAGAUGUUAGUGGCAGGUUAGGAAGGCUGGAGAGGUGUUUUCAAAAGCAUAUAGGUGAUUGCAGACUACAAGCCUUCAAAAUGCUUUAAAAACUCUGCCCCUGACUUUUGUUCCCAAUUAAGCUAUGGAUUUGGAGUAUAGAUUGUGAAUCUACACACCACAGAAGCCAUGCAGCUUCCAAGUCUGUUUCCAUAUAUAUAUAUAUAUAUAUAAAAGGAAAAAAAGGUGAUUGGUUUUUUAAUCUGUUACUCUAUGAAUGCUUCUGAGAGAAACAGGUUUGCUACCUAGGUGAAUAUCUGUAAAAUUCAGUGUUUAGAAGUUUUACUUUUGAUAGUACUAGAGAGAAUAAACUGGCAAACAAAUCCAAGUUAGUUGCCCACUUCAGAGAUCCCCUCAGAAAGACCCACAGCUGAAGCACUUCAAGGUUCAGACUGUCCAAACUGCAAAGAGCAUAGAAGGAACUGAAACAAGGAGAAGAAAUUCAUUUUGCAGUCCAAAAGAGACAAAGAGGCCUUGCAGAAAAGGAUUGUGGAACCAGAAGCUGAACUGAAAAGAUGCAAACAUGAGACACCUCCAGACCAAGAGAAUGAAGAGGUCUGCUGCUUU